rnacentral:tRNA from 14 species
GGCGGAUGUAGCCAAGUGGAUAAGGCAGU